ensembl:lncRNA
GUUCCCCUUCUAUCUGUUUUAGACAGAGGCUAUCUUUCUCUGAAUCAAUUUUUCCUACUCUUAACCUCUGUUGUUCCUAGAAUUCAUUCUUCAAUUUUAGAGAACACGAAUUCAUGCUUUGGAUAUCUAGCAGGUUUGGGAGUUACAUCUAUUCCUCCUAUAUCACUGUAGUUAGGCGGGGCUGUAAACUAAUCCUGGCUUUGAGCAGCUGUCUCACUUCAGGGUCAAAGUUCAGCAGAACAGGUCAAAAAUUUUUCUGUGGUCUUUGUCUUUGUCAGUUGAUUGCUGAUGUCAUGAGUUGAGAGGACAGAGUCAAGACCAUACCUCUUCAAUAGCUGGACCACUUGUCAUAGAGCAGCUCCCCUGGAGACUCAGCUGGGUCACAUCAUAGCUGCUGUGAACAUGAAAAACUCCUUAUUGUGUCAAGGCCACUGAGAGUCUAGGGGUUCUGUUUCUCUGUAGAACCUUGACUAAAGCAUGGCUUGAACAACAUGGACCCACUUUCCACCCUGAUUGGGUUCACUUGCCAAGAGGAAGAAAUGAACAUUAAAUGGAUUUAAUUCCAAUUAUGAAGAACAGUCUGACUUGGAAUGAAUAACAAAAGAAUCAAUCUUUGCCUCCAGACUUGAGGGCUUGCCAACAGGGAUUUUGACACUCCCACGUACUGCUUGGCAUCCCAUUGAGAUCUGAGUAAAAGUCUCCAUGAACCCACAACUUGUGCAAUCUGCAUGCUUACAAAAUCAUCAGUACAUGGAUACUGUAAAAAUCUACUUCUAGCAUGAGCAGUAAGUGGGCAACUUGGACCAUGGAUGAAAUGGCCUCUGAGUGCCUGGAUGGCUGAACAUGGUGAAGUGAAUUUCUGGGGAAAUGAUUUCUUCUGCAGGCCUGUGAUAGCAGUGUACCCCAGCACUCUCUUAUCAAAGCAGUCUUUUAAACAAGUUUAUACUUUUACACACUUGAACCUAUGAUGGAUAGGGUCUGACAAAUUCCAGAGAUACCCCCAAGGCAUUUUUCUUGUUGUGUCAAUGCAAAGAACUUGACUCUUAAAAUUUAACAGCAGUAAUCUUUUCAGCAACCACAUAUUCUUUGACCCCAACUUUAUGUACAAUCUUUUUCUGGUCAAACUUAAAUUUUUCAGGGUUUUUUUGCCCUAGUUUUUGCUCCCAAAGCUAACUAUAAACCUAACUGAAAGCAGCCAGCAGUACCCAUGUCACUGCCUGAAUGCUGUGCUGCCUUUAAAUUUCCUCUGCCAGAUUAAUUAGUCCAUCACUUUUUAAAUCAGCCUCCCAUAGAGUCUCACAGCAUGGACAAAAUGCAGACAAGUUCUUUGCCAGAAUGUAAUAAGCAUGUCCUCUAGUCAAAUUCUAAAUAGAGUCUUCAUUUUCCUCUGAAACCUCAUGAGCUUGGCCUUUAUGUUCCACGUUCCUAUCAGCAUUCUGGUCUUCUGAGCUCCCCCCACAAUUGCCCAUCAAGGUCUGCUUAUAGCAUUCUAGGUGUUCUCUAGUCCAUUUCUCUAAAAUUUUCCAACCUCCUCCUGUAAACCAAUUCUAAAGGCUUUUGGACCACAUGACCAGAUAUGGUCACAGAAUGACCCCACUCUUGGUACCAAUUCUCUGUCUUAGUUAGCUUUCCAUUGCCUUGACAAAAUACCUCUGAGUAAAUUAUUUAAGGUAGGAAAGGUUUAUUUUGGCUCAUGGCUUUAGAGAUUUCAGUCCAUAUUCAUCUGGCUCCAUUGCUUUAGGCCUGUGGUGAGGCAGAAACAUCAUGGGAGAAGGACAUGACAGGAAACCUACUCAUCUACAGUCAGAGAUGGAGAGUUAGUCCCUAAAGUCACAUUGCCAUGACCCACUCCCUUCAAGGAAACCCCACUGCCUAAGUUUCUAUCACCUACCAAUAAUGUUAUCAUAUUACAAAUCCCUGAAUAGAUUCAUCCACUGUUGGAGUUAAAGCUUCCACAAUCCCGUUACCACCCCAAUCCCCACUCUGAACAAUGCUACAUUGAGGACCAAAAUUUCAUUGCAUGAGCCUUUGGGGGACAUUUUACGUCAGCAUAGCACCCUCCACCAUAAUGUGAGCUUCAUGGUGGCAAAAUCUUUGUUUGUUAACUGUCGCACAACUAUUCAGCCAUUCAUAUAAUGUUAUUGGCACAAAGUUGAUGAAUAUUCGUUUUUUUAAUAGGCACAUGACUGCUUGAAUGAAUGAAUGAUCAAAUGGAUCUCAUCAUUUUCCAUGAAUUUCUAGUGCCCAUUAAUCCAUGCUCUACCUUGCCACCAGGGAAAUCUUUUUUACAACACAAUUGUAAUCAUGCUUCCUUACAUUAUACAGUGGCUUCUCUUUGCUGUAGGAUAACAUCUAAGCUUCUUGUUAUGCACACAAAGCCAUUAAAGUUUGGUUCCUAUAUAAAUCCUAAAAUUUAUUUCACAUCGUUUCUCUUUCUUUGAUCUCCAUCCUGCUCUGUCACUGUUAUAGUUUGAGCCUAGAUAUCCCCCCUCCCCACCACAAAGCCUCAUGGGAUCACAGGUAGGGCUUUUUCAGGGGUGGCUGAAUCUAAAGUAUAUGAUGCUGGGAUUAAGGGUGGGUGAUUAUUAAAUCAGUACACUGAUUGGUUUGGCGACACCCUAGUCACAGUAGCCUUGAUAAAAUAUAAAGAAUAGAAAGAGGCUUGUCCUCAUUGUAUCUUCUCCAUUCAUAUAAGGCUUUUUUGCUGGAAGUAUGGAGCACAUGUCUUUAAUCUGUUGAGAAGGUUCUGUUCUACUUCUGGUCUCCUGAUAACUUUUACCAGGAACAGCUGUGGAAUUUAGUCCAACACUUUUUCUCCAACUAGUGACAGGAUCAUAUGGCUUUUUCCUUUCCUCUGUUAAAAUGUUAAAAUGAUGACUUUUGGGGGUGGAUCUUCCAAUGCUGAACCAACACUGCCAUCCCUAUAACAAAACCACUUUCUACAUCCUGCCAGAUCUGACUUCUAAUAGUGUGUUUUGUUAAACAAAUUUCUAUCUAUGUUCACACAUUUUUCUUCUAUUAUCUUUAUCCAGUUUUAGGAUUAGCACAAUGUUGAUUUCCCAAAAUGAGGGGAGAACUGUUCCUUCUUUUUUCUGCUUUAAAUGUUUGAUAUAAUUUAUCAGUUAAAAUGUAUAUGAGCCUGCUGUUGUCAUAUAGGUAGGUUUUCAAGCUAGGAAUAUACUUUCUUUAAUAGGUGCUAUUCAAAUUUUAUAUUUCCUCCAGAGUCAGUUUCAUUAAUUUUUCUUCCAAGGUACUUCUUAGAAGUUGUCAAAUUUAUUUCAAAACAGAUUUUUGAAAUAUGCUUUCUAUAUCCUUUUAAAUUUUGUAAAAUUUGUGGUAAUGUCUACUAGGUCUUGAUAUUGUAAUUUUAAAAAUAUAUAAUUGAUACCAUGUAAUAGGAAGUAAAGGUCUAAAGGAGCAGGGGAAGUGGGAGGGGUAGGGGAAAGGAAAGAAGAG